AGCAGAACCCUGAGGCACUUACACCAGUGCUCAAAGCUCUGGAAGAGGCAGGAUCAGCGAGUGCUCUUGAGGCGAGGAAUUCAACAGCCAUUUUGGAGGUUUCCCUCAGGCUGAUGGAGGAAGAAUUCUAGCUGAGGAAAAGAAUAAACUUAAGGGCUGGAGAGAUGGCUCAGUGGUUAAGAGCACUGGCUGCUCUUCCAGAGGUCUGAGUUCAAUUCCCAGCAAGCUCAUGGUGGCUUACAACCAUCUGUAAUUGGAUAUGAUGCCCUCUUCUGGUGUGUCAGCAACAGCAUGCUCAUAGAUAGAUAGAUAGGUAGGUAGAUAGAUAGAUAGAUAGAUAGAUAGAUAGAUAGAUAGAUAGAUAGAUAAUAAAUUUAAGGAUCCAGAGGUAGGAAAGCCUUCUGUACCUGGCAACUGAAAACUGGGAGUUCAUUUCCUGAUGAAGGUGUAUAGGUGUGAACCAAGUGCACGUCUAGUUCCCUUGGAGGCCAGAAAGAAGGCGGUGUCAGAUCCCCAGGAACCAUAGUUACAGAUGGUUGAUGUGGAAACUCAGAGAGGAUGCCACUGUUUUGAACUAUUUUGAAGGCACAGCCACCAGAGCUUUAGGGACAGGGUAUUUUAUCACAGCAACAGAAAUGAAACCAAAACAACUCCACAAUAAAAUUCUUGAGUUUCUUGGGGCCAAGAAGAUGACACGAUAAGAUAAAGACACUGGCCAAGCAUGACCUCCAGAGUUUGGCCCUUGCAUAAAGGAGAAAAUUAAUUCCUUCAGUUGUUCUCUGACCUCCACAUGCGUCCUGUAACAUGGGUGUAUGCAUACACAUAAACACACAUCCACACGUUGUUAAAUAAAUAAAAAAAAUAUGUUAACA
rnacentral:lncRNA from 1 species